AAUUGUAGGUAGUUCGUGUAUAGAUCUCGUCAGCAUAUCGUCGCAAACAGGAAAUCCCCAACCAUAGUGGGCUUGAAGCUGUGAGGGAAUUCGGAGUGGCCACCCGUUCUGAAAGUUUGAUUUUCUUCUGGUGAAUUGGACAUCCUUUUAUUUACGUUUGAAGUUUUGGGUUUUUAAAUGUAAUAAGGCCGCUUAAUUAUUUUUAAUGGUUUUAAUAUGUAUUACUAAGAUAGGUAUUACUUAUUUUAACUGUUGAAAUUGGAUAGCUUUAGGGCGCGUUUUCAAAAACAACAGUUGAUUUCAAAAUAACACGACAACAAGCAAAGCUUCCGCAAUGAAAGUAUUUUCCAAAA